rfam:Ictidomys tridecemlineatus contig081149, whole genome shotgun sequence.
GGGGUUAUGGCUCAGUGGUAGAGCACUUGCUUUGCAUGCAUGAGGAACUGGGUUCAAUUGUCAGCGCCA